rnacentral:rRNA from 1 species
GAUGAACGCUGGCGGCGUGCCUAACACAUGCAAGUCGAGCGAACGGACGAGAAGCUCGUUUUUUUGAUGUUAGCGGCGGACGGGUGAGUAACACGUGCAUCACCUACCUAUUUGACUGGGAUAACUUCGUGAAACCGGAGCCAAUAACGCAUAAUAUUUUGAACCGCAUGGUUCAAAAGUUAUUGGCGGUCUUGCUGUCACUUAUAGAUGGUUCCGCGCUGCAUUAGCUAGUUGGUAAGGUAACGGCUUACCAAGGCAACGAUGCAUAGCCGACCUGAGAGGGUGAUCGGCCACACUGGAACUGAGACACGGUCCAGACUCCUACGGGAGGCAGCAGUAGGGAAUAUUGCGCAAUGGGCGAAAGCCUGACGGAGCAACGCCGCGUGAGUGAUGAAGGUCUUCGGAUCGUAAAGCUCUGUUAUUAGGGAAGAACAGAUGUGUAAGUAACUGUGCACGUCUUGACGGUACCUAAAGAGAAAGCAACGGCUAACUACGUG